rnacentral:tRNA from 10 species
UGGUAGAGCAGUGGUCUCCAACUCAGGAGGUCCCCGGAUCGAUUCCCGGCUUG